rnacentral:snRNA from 1 species
AUACUUACCUGGUUCCGGGGCCUUGUUGAUCACAAAGGACAAGCCCCCACGGCAAGGCGCGGGCACUGCACUGCGCUCGCGUUGACUUCUGCCACUACCUCAAACUGGGGCAGACGGAGCAUGAAAAUUUC